AAACUUUCAANAAAGGAUCUCUUGGCUCUCGCAUCGAUGAAGAACNCAUCCAANCGCGNAAUGUAUUUGUGUCUCGCAUCAACAUUGUGAAUCAUCGAAUCUUUGAACGCACAUUGCGCCNCUAGUANCUUGGAGGCAUGCCUGUCUNGAGCGUCAUUU
rnacentral:rRNA from 1 species